rnacentral:rRNA from 1 species
UACAGAGGCUCCGAGCGUUAAUCGGAAUUACUGGGCGUAAAGCGCACGUACGUGGCGACGUAAGUCGGGUGUGAAAGCCCCGGGCUCAACCUGGGAAUUGCAUUCGAGACUGCAUUGCUGGAGUACGGAAGAGGAGGGCGGAAUUCCCGGUGUAGCGGUGAAAUGCGUAGAUAUCGGGAGGAACAUCAGUGGCGAAGGCGGCCCUCUGGUCCAGUACUGACACUCAAGUGCGAAAGCGUGGGGAGCAAACAGG